AAAGUAACAUCUCGUUGCAGGAACUUAGUACACGGGUAGAUCUCUGCCGCGAAGUUAGCAAGUUGUUGAGCAGUCAAUUUCUAUGCCAAGCAGCGCGCUCGAUUCACCGUCGGGCCUCGGCUGUGUUGGCAUGAAAAGAUGGGAGCCCUCAUCUUCCUCUCAUCAACGGCAAUUACGGAGUUUUUGCUUUCUUUACGUUCAAAAUGACCAGUGGAUGAAAAUGACUUUUUGGUAGGAAGGUAGUACUCAAACUACACCUGCCUGUCGGAGAAGGUCGACCGUAGCAAAUAGGCCGUAGAUUGUUGCACUUUAUGAGCUGCGGCAAUUUCCACACACACUUUCUGGGAGUGUUUACCGGAUUAGUUCCUCCGGAAGAUCUUAACAAGAAAAAAUCAGUAAGCGUUGGGGAUACUUUUUCUCUUGAACGUGAUCAGUGGGAUGACUUCACACUUUUGUGCAAACUGCUACAUCCAUUGGGAAGCGAAAAGGCUUUGGGUAGAAGGUAGCAUCAAGAAGGCACACAAAAAAAACUGCAUCCUUACACCACAACCACAAUGAGAAGAUAUGGAUAUGGUAGCUAAACAACCACUAAAGGAUAUUCGCCAAAAGGGACACGCUGCUGGUGUUAGAAUCUCCGUACUGCCCAUUUCCGGACGUCCAUUUUUACGCGCCAUUCUUUUGCACACACCCGGGAGCGUCCUUCUGAAGUGGCCAAAGUUCAUUUUUCAGAACAAACUCUCCAUUUACCUGUCUUAGGAAAGCUGAAUGGUUAGAGCAGUGAAGAUGUGGACAUUCGAGGCCUUUUAGAAUCGUUUCACGGAACGUGCGAAUUAAUGUAGCUGGAAGCGAACCAUUGCAGGGCCUAUUGAUGAGUUUUUGCAGCCCAAGCAACAUAAACCGUGCUGACUACCUAACAUAGAUGGGUGCUGGCUACCUGAUGGUCACGGAAGUAGACGCACAGCAUAGCGGGGGAGUCUGUGUUGUAUGGACUCAAUGACGGCGAUGAAUGAAAGGAGAUGAAAUGACAGCUUCCAGACCAGAUUAAACAAACUAAGACUGCUAAAGAAACAUUUGAUAUUAUUUAUCUCUACAUGCAAAAGUAAAACAUUUCUAUAGGAGCUUUACAUGGAUUGUAGUAGAGUAGAGUUAAUUAAGUAUAACUUCAUUAUAGCUUUCAACUCACUUUUUCAUACUCCAAAGAUUAUCCCAAAGAACCGUAAAGAAGAAAACAAAUUAUUGGCUUGUGAAUUUUUCAGAUAUAAUAUAAGAUAUUAUUCCUAAGUUCUUAAGUUUUAUGGAUAUAGAAUAGUAUUUGUAUUGAAAAUUUAAACCUUUUUAUUUUUAAUUAUGCAUGUUACCAAU